ACCCAUCUGCAACCUGCUGGUGAGCCAGUCACCAAGAGAUGAUCCCUGCUGAGGGUGAGAGCCACGGGCUGAGUGCAUCUGUGGCAGUGACAGCAGCAGUGCCACAGCCAUGGCAAGGCCCAGCUGAUGUGACCUCUGGGGAGGGCACCUUCACACAGGCAGAAAAAGAAGGGUGGGAUUGUUGGUAUGGAAAUAUUUUCCACUAAGAAGUGUGAUCUCGCCUGGAGCUUUUUAGAAGAGAAAAACAAGAAUAAGAGUCCAGAGACUUGUGCUAUACAGAAUGUAAUCAAUAAAGUUAUUCAAAGUUUUACACAAAAGCACUCACAUGGGUCAUUAGGGCAGAAACUUUAAUCCACUGAGGUUUAAAAUGAGGAAUUUCUUAAG